ACCUAAAUAGUUUAUUAAAAACACUAAUUUGUGGCAUUAGAAAUGGUAAAUUCAUUUACCUUUAGGUC
rnacentral:tRNA from 1 species